ensembl:lncRNA
GUUUCAAAGAAGGUUCGAAAAAUACCGAUCGUGUUUUCUGAUACAUGGACUCUUCAUUUGCCAUGGGUCCUCCUCCUUUGGAGCUUCUAGAGCUUGUAGCCUCGGGAGCAGAGCCUGGAAAACUCCUUGGCCAGAUGUUCUAAAGAAAAGCAACUCCUGUAAAUUUGAGAGGGCCAACAUCCACUCUGUGAGCCACUCUUUCCUGCCCCCCACCAAACACACAAGAAAGUGAGGCCCACUACUUCACAGAACCGACAGGAAUGCUUCCUUUUGCCAUGUUCGUUGAGGAUGUGGGUGAAGUGAAGUGGCACCAAGCAAAGGAGUUCCUAAAAUUUUAAGAAGAUGUGAGGGUAUGGGCGGCUUUCCAUUUAUCCAGAAGUCCAACAUAGGUCACUUGAAAACGCCAAAAGAAGGCCAAACGUGUUGUGAAUCUGGAAGAUGAGUUAACUAGCAUCAUGGAAGACCCAAAGACCUCAGCUUCUCAGGCUGGUGAAACAUUUCUUGUACAAUUCAAGAAGUUCUUAAGAAGUUCUUAGUUAAACAGGAAAAAUGUAAAGAAUUUCUGCAAUGCCAAAUUUUGGAUCAGAAGAAUUAAAAAAAUAUAGAUGAAAGAGAAGACUGUCUGAAAAUGCUGCUGGGACAUCUGUAUCUAAUGAAGACACUUAACUUCUGGAGACAGCACAGCAAGUCUUCCCAUUGCAGUCUAACUCAAAGUUGGCUGUAUAAUGGUCUUGAUUAUUUUUCAUUUGCCUGAAGACUACUUCCUUUUCUAUUUUCUUAGUUUUCAUUGUCAUGCACGGAAAUAAAUUAUUGCAUUACAGUUAUGUGCAAAGAGGUUAUUGUAAGAAAAUGUUUAUUUCCACCAAUGUGGGAUUGAUGAAAGGUUCUUCAGGAACAGUUGGUACAUUAGGCAUAAAUGAAUAACCAAACAAAAAUUUCCCUCCUUUGUUUCCAAAACUCAGAUGAAAGACAAGAUUUGGUAAAUUCAACCAUAUAAAUGAAUCCAAUAGAAAUUAAGUGAUGAAACAUUAAAUCUCAAUCUUCUUCCCUCAUUUAUUUAUGUGAGCUCACAAAACAGUAGGAUUUUCUUUAAAUUAAAGGAAAGCAAAAUUAGAAAACAAUAGUGCUUGUUAUAAAAGUGUAACCCUCACUUGAAAGAUGCAAAGUAGAUGGGCAGCCACAACCCAGGUGCCCUUUCAUAACCCUAGGUAGAUGAAAGUAGAUAAUAAGAUUUUACACUGAGGCAAUUGAUGCACUUCAGUACAUUGGAUGGGUUCCCCUAAUUCUUCUACUAGGAGUCCAUUAGCAAAUACAUAAGUAAAUUACUUCUACAGCAAACACUGAGUUUGUAAGCUUAGCUUAGAUUUUUCAAGGUGCCACUUGGAAAGAAAAGAGGGCUCCAUGGGAUUGUAUCUGGUUCUAAAACUUACUAGCUCCACAGCUGUGAGUGUGUUUUUAUGUCUUCAUUGUCCCUCUUUAAUACUCUGUAAAGUGAGGUGUAUAGUACAAGAGCAAUAGAAUAAACUGACUUAAUGCAUGUAAGUCAUCUAGAAAAGCACCUGCUCAUAUUAGGUAUUCUGUUAAUUUACAUAAUAGUGCCACUGCUUAAACUUGAUGAGAAGUAAUAAAGCAUUUCCAAUAAGAAAACAUAUUAAUGAAAUUAAGGCACAGUAAUAUAGUCACCUACAACGUAGCCUGAUUGAUAUUAACUGACAUUUCAUUGUAUUUUGUGCUUCAGUAAUUCUAGUAAGGAAGAGUACAAACCCAGGAAACAGUAAAUCAAGUGAUGACCUUCAUUUCUCUAUUCAUACCUUCUCUUCCUGAGAAUGAUGGCAUGGUGAGCUUCUUUCACCAGUAGGCAAUCAGUAGUUUAUAAAUUGCCCUUGACUAAAUAUCUCAUUUUUAUAUUUAAACUAGUCAACAUUGAAUUUUGUACUUAUUAAUAUAGGCAUUCAAAUUAAAAUCAGGAAUAAGACAAGACUGCUUUAUCCUCAGUUUUUCCUAGUAUUUCUCGAGAAUUUUUUCUAGCAGGAUUUUUAAACUUCAACACUAUUGACCUUUUGAAUCAGAUGACUCAUUGUUUGUGUGUGUUUGUGGAGGUGGGGGGCAAUGUUAUGUGAAUUGUAAAAUGUUUAACAGAAUUCCCUGGCAACCAUCUACUAGACGAUGGUAUCUCUCCCUGUCAGAACAAAAGAAAAACUCUUCAGAGAUUGCUAAAUGACUCUUGAAAGGCAAAAUGGCACUGCUUGAAGAUUACUAUUCAAGAACAGAAAAUGGAAAUGCUAAAGGAAAAGAUUUAUCUGUUUGAAUGACAAAGAGCACCUGGAACUUCAUGAAUACCAAACCAGAACUCCAAAACAUUUUAGACAAUACCCUAGGAAAAGACAAUGAGGAUCACAACCCCAGGAAACCCAGCAGAAUGAAUCCAUUGGGCAUGACAAAUUAAACACAAAGGGGGAGAAUCCAACAAAAAGAAAAAGUUAUGACAAGGCUUUUAAAACUUUUGACUUCAUCUCCCUAAUGAGUGUAUAAUUCAAUCUUAUUAUUGUACUGAUUAGUAUUUUUCUGAUUCUAGAGUUGCACACCAUUCCUUGUGCUAUACUGGCUAUUUAUCAUCUUCUUAUGUCUACGUUUUAAUUGGGUUGUCUAUUAAUGAGCUCUAAGAAUUCUUUAUAUAUUCUGCUCAUAGGUUAUAUGCAUUGUAAAUAUGGUCUGUUUAAGGACUACUUUUCAUUUUAAUGAUGUCAUUUAAAGUCCUAAAUUUUGAUGGAAUCUCAUUUGUCAAGUUUUUUCUUUUAUACAUCAUGUUUUUUGUAUCCUAGGUAGUUCUUGCCUAUCCUGAAUUCAUAAAUAUUUUCCC